AUAAGUUACUAAGGGCACACAGGGGAUGCCUUGGCUUUGAGAGGCGAAGAAGGACGUGAUAAGCUGCGAUAAGGUACGGGGAGGAGCAAAUAUCUUUUGAUCCGUACAUUUCCGAAUGGGGAAACCCGGCUGGUUGAAGACCAGUCACCCUUAGGGGGGCGAACGCGCUGAACUGAAACAUCUAAGUAGGCGCAGGAAGAGAAAACAAUAGUGAUUUCCGGAGUAGCGGCGAGCGAAAUGGAAAUAGCCCAAACCGUAACUGUUUCGGCAGUUACGGGGUUGUAGGACUACGUCAUGGAAUUAUAAAUUAUAGUGGAACAACUUGGAACGGUUGGCUGUAGAGGGUGAAAGCCCCGUACACGAAAUAUUUUAUAUACCUAGUAGUAUCCUGAGUAGGGCGGGACAUGUGAAAUCCUGUCUGAAUCUACCAGAACCAUCUGGUAAGGCUAAAUACUCCUGAGAGACCGAUAGCGAACGAGUACCGUGAGGGAAAGGUGAAAAGAACCCUGAAUAAGGGAGUGAAAAAGAUCCUGAAACCGUGUGUCUACAAGCGGUCGAAGCCUACGGGCGACGGCGUGCCUUUUGCAUAAUGAUCCUACGAGUUACUCCUCAUUGGCAAGGUUAAGUGUUUAAGACACGGAGCCGAAGCGAAAGCGAGUCUGAAUAGGGCGAAAUAGUCAGUGGGGGUAGACGCGAAACCUUGUGAUCUACCCAUGGCCAGGUUGAAGUUCCGGUAACACGGAAUGGAGGACCGAACCGAUAAGCGUUGAAAAGCUUUCGGAUGAGCUGUGGGUAGGGGUGAAAGGCCAAUCAAACUGGGAAAUAGCUCGUACUCCCCGAAAUGCAUUUAGGUGCAGCGUUGAGGUUAAGUUUUAUAGAGGUAGAGCUACUGAUUGGACUAGGGGGCUUCACCGCCUACCAAAUCCUGACAAACUCCGAAUGCUAUAAAAUAUACUCAGCAGUGAGGGCAUGGGUGCUAAGGUCCAUGUCCGAGAGGGAAAGAACCCAGACCAUCAGCUAAGGUCCCCAAAUAUAUGUUAAGUUGAAAAAACGAGGUUUGUCUGCCCAGACAGCUAGGAUGUUGGCUUGGAAGCAGCCAUUCAUUUAAAGAGUGCGUAACAGCUCACUAGUCGAGCGGUCGAGCAUGGAUAAUAAUCGGGCAUAAGCAUAUCACCGAAGCUAUGGCAUCGAAAGAUGGGUAGGGGAGCAUUGUAGCGACGUUGAAGGUAAACUGUAAGGUUUGCUGGAGUUUCUACAAAAGAAAAUGUAGGCAUAAGUAACGAUAAUGCGGGCGAGAAACCCGCACACCGAAAGACUAAGGUUUCCUCAGCUAUGCUAAUCAGCUGAGGGUUAGUCGGGACCUAACGCGAACCCGAAAGGGGUAGUGGAUGGACAACAGGUUAAUAUUCCUGUACCUGCUCACACUAAAAGUGACGGAGGCGAAAAGUUAGUGCGCACAGACGGAAUUGUGCGUUGAAGCCAGUGGUAACACGGCAAUAGUACACUAAGGCUUCGGCUGCGGUGAUAAUCUAGCAAAUCGACUUCCAAGAAAAGCAAGUGAAGCAGCCCGUACCCUAAACCGACACAGGUAGUUGGGAUGAGAAUUCUAAGGUGCUCGAGAGAUUCAUGGCUAAGGAACUAGGCAAAAUCGACCCGUAACUUCGGGAGAAGGGUCGCCCAUCUUCGGAUGGGCCGCAGUGAAGAGGUCCAGGCGACUGUUUAUCAAAAACACAGGGCUCUGCUAAAUCGAAAGAUGAUGUAUAGGGCCUGACACCUGCCCGGUGCUGGAAGGUUAAGUGGAGGGGUUAGCUUCGGCGACGCUCUGAAAUGAAGCCCCAGUAAACGGCGGCCGUAACUAUAACGGUCCUAAGGUAGCGAAAUUCCUUGUCGGGUAAGUU
rnacentral:rRNA from 1 species